CGUAGCAUACGUUUGUAAGCGGCGAACGGGUGAGGAAUACAUGGGUAACCUACCCUCGAGUGGGGAAUAACUAGCCGAAAGGUUAGCUAAUACCGCGUACACUUCUUGGACUUCGGUUCAGGGAGGAAAGCGAUACCGUGGGUAUCGCGCUCUUGGAUGGGCUCAUGUCCUAUCAGCUUGUUGGUGAGGUAACGGCUCACCAAGGCUUCGACGGGUAGCUGGUCUGACAGGACGAUCAGCCACACUGGCACUGCGACACGGGCCAGACUCCUACGGGAGGCAGCAGUAAGGAAUAUUGCGCAAUGGGCGAAAGCCUGACGCAGCGACGCCGCGUGGGGGAUGAAGGUCUUCGGAUUGUAAACCCCUUUCGGGAGGGAAGAUGGAAUGGGGUAACCCAUUCGGACGGUACCUCCAGAAGCAGCCACGGCUAACUUCGUGCCAGCAGCCGCGGUAAUACGAAGGUGGCAAGCGUUAUUCGGAUUUACUGGGCGUACAGGGAGCGUAGGCGGUUCGGUAAGCCCUCUGUGAAAUCUUCAGGCUUAACCUGGAACAGUCGGAGGGGACUGCUGGGCUAGAGGACAGGAGAGGAGCGCGGAAUUCCCGGUGUAGCGGUGAAAUGCGUAGAGAUCUGGAGGAAGGUUGGUGGCUAAGGCGGCGCUCU
rnacentral:rRNA from 1 species